rnacentral:rRNA from 1 species
UUGACCUCGGAUCAGGUAGGGAUACCCGCUGAACUUAAGCAUAUCAAUAAGCGGAGGAAAAGAAACCAACAGGGAUUA